rnacentral:RNase_MRP_RNA from 2 species
UCCUCGCUCAAAGAAUCGCAGUCGAAGCUUACAAACGGAGACAUCUUUGGAUGUUUCAGCUGAAAAGCCAUUUGCUUUGGGAGAAAGUCCCCGGACAUCCUGCAUAUUUGCAGGCCUGCGGAAACGCGUCGCCAUAGAAGCAUGCGGCUACCUCUCGUCUUCUCUCUUGGUUUCUUCGAGCUCCAGCACUGCUCGACUUCAAUUGUCGCUAGCUAGGUCUCUGAUUGCAGGUGGCAGUGACCAUAUGGAUGAAGAUACGAGUCCGCGCUCUGCCAUUACUGCUGUCAUCUGGCUUGACUCUGCGGCUCUUGGAUAAGGUGCUGGUUACAAUCCGAGGUUUACUGAGGGGUUCAGGGGACGUUGAGAAUACUUUCGUCGCGAUCGAUAGUAAUGCGAUUGCCCGUCGUCUCCCUUGGGGUGGAAACAUGCCAUAGGAACGGGGGUAACUCGAUGGGGCUUAUUCUUGAGGCGAGG